rnacentral:rRNA from 1 species
CCUACGGGGGACAGCAGUGAGGAAUAUUGGUCAAUGGGCGUAAGCCUGAACCAGCCAAGUCGCGUGAGGGAUGAAGGUUCUAUGGAUCGUAAACCUCUUUUAUAAGGGAAUAAAGUGUGGGACGUGUCCUGUUUUGUGUGUACCUUAUGAAUAAGGAUCGGCUAACUCCGUGCCAGCAGCCGCGGUAAUACGGAGGAUCCGAGCGUUAUCCGGAUUUAUUGGGUUUAAAGGGUGCGUAGGCGGCCUUUUAAGUCAGCGGUGAAAGUCUGUGGCUCAACCAUCGAAUCGCCGUUGAAACUGGGAGGCUUGAGUAGGUGUGAGGCAUGCGGAAUGCGCGGUGUAGCGGUGAAAUGCUUAGAUAUCACGCAGAACUCCGAUUGCGAAGGCAGCCUGCCAAGCCAUGACUGACGCUGAGGCACGAAAGCGUGGGUAUCAAACAGGAUUAGAUACCCGAGUAGUC